UGAUAUUUCAGGGUCUAUAAAUGUUUGAGAAAAUUCCACAGUCGACAAUUUCGACUAUACAGUGUUUUUUAUAGACCUCAGUCUGGGAAAUUGAUACAGUGGACCAGCAACAGUAUUUAAAUAUUCUUCUUCGUUUCCGGAUCUCAGUCCCAUAACAUGUAGCUGUUGUUGUUGUUGUUGUGGUCUUCAGUCCUGAGACUGGCUUGAUGCAGCUCUCCAUGCUACUCUAUCCUGUGCAAGCCCCUUCAUCUCCCAGUACCUACUGCAGCCUACAUCCUUCUGAAUCUGCUUAGUGUAUUCAUCUCUUGGUCUCCCUCUACAUUUUUACCUUCCACGCUACCCUCCAACACUAAAUUGGUGAUCCCUUGAUGCCUCAGAACAUUUCCUACCAAACGGUCCCUUCUUCUUGUCACGUUGUGCCACAAACUCCUCUUCUCCCCAACCCUAUUCAAUACCUCCUCAUUAGUUACUUGAUCUACCCUAUCUAAUCUUCAGCAUUCUUCUGUAGCACAACAAUUCGAAAGCUUCUAUUCUCUUCUUGUCUAAACUAUUUAUCGUUCAUGUUUCACUUCCAUACAUGGCUACACUCCAUACAAAUACUUUCAGAAACGACUUUCUGACAAAUCUAUACUCGAUGUUAACGAAUUUCUCUUCUUCAGAAAUGCUUUCCUUGCCAUUGCCAGUCUACCUUUUCUAUCCUACCUAUUUCGACCAUCAUCAGUUAUUUUCUUCCUCAAAUAGCAAAACUCCUUUACUACUUUAAGUGUCUCUUUUCCUAAUCUAAUUCCCUCAGCAUCACCCGACUUAAUUCGACUACAUUCCAUUAUCAUCGUUUUGCUUUUGUUGAUGUUCAUCAUAUACUCUCCUUUCAAGACACUGUCCAUUCCGUUCAACUGCUCUUCCAAGUCCUUUGCUGUCUCGGAAUUACAAUGUCAUCGGCGAACCUCAGCGUUGCGCUAAUAAUGAUCAAAUCUCUAUCUGUGAUCAGGCAAUAAGUUUACUAGCACUUCUGUAGCAGGAUGCUCUCUCUGUCGACACAGUUACCAGUUACCUUAAAGGAGAAGGAAGUGCAAACUUUGUUCAGUCGAAAGGACAUAUGGGGCGUUCAAAGCACGUGGAAAUAAAGCCUGUUUUGGGACAGUUUGGGCUUUUUCCACUUUUAAGUGCCAUUCAUAAAGCUGCUUUCAGAGUAUAGAAGUCUCCUGUCCAGAUGUUGUAAAUAUCUGCUCUAGGAUUGGCAACACCGUUGUGGUCCCUUGUCACAGUUUGCGUGGUUUGCUUUAUCGUUGUGAGAGCUCUAAUUAAAGGGGAUUGAUGAUUAUGGGUGACUCGUCUGAAGUUAUGGAAGAUAAUGCAUCGGAAUAUCAGCGUUAUAGCUCAGUGAAGCUAAUAAUUACUUUGUGCAUUUGGUAAGUGAGAAUUAACUAACUAUACAAUAACCAGAUUUGGUUGCGAGUUUAAACAUCUGAUUAUAUUUUAUGGUACUUUCAGUCAUUGUAUGUUAUUUUAGCACGGGAGGGCACACAGAUACUGAGAAAGAACAGCGAGCAGAAGGACAAGACGUUCUCCACAUCCAGAGAAAUGGAAGAGGUGUACUGGUCAAUGGCAGCGGAACUGUGAGCAGCAGUAUACUACAAUGAAGGUCGUAAGAAAUCCAGUGGAGAAAGCCAGUAAGAAAAUUUCGCACAUUUACACAACAAAUGAUUGGAUGGAUAUCGUUAGACAAGCAAAGAAAACGUCCCCCGAUUUCAGGCCAUUGCAAUGAAAUUCUCAGACUUUUUAUCCUCCAGGAACUUGAAGAAUCCAGUAUUAACUACAAAAAAUGAUUGAUGGUUAUGGCAUCAACUGCUGACCAGAAGAUGGUUACAUUAUAAAGUAGAAUCUUCUUUUACCCUGCUCGUUAGGCCGACUCUGAACCCUGAUGUGCAAUUUGACGAAGCUGACUUGAGAAGAAGCAUGGCCAUACCAUAACAAACUUUUGUAACACCCAGCAGAGGUCUCUUUAUACCAAACGACGACCAGUAACAAAAGUGAAGAAAAAGGGUACGGAGGAUUUACCACCUGUGCAUCACCAUUUUUUCAAGAACCUACUACGUGACACUGCCACAAGAGCUUCCUCAACUUUACAAGAGCAAACAGACGAAAGCGAAUACGUUUUUCUUUGAAUCUGGAUUAUUUAACUUCCUACUUUUAAAUAUUUGUUAUACGCAGACACAAGGUCUAAAAUUUGAAUUACAUAAACCAGAAAUACAUUUUCUUUGCGUUUCCUCAAUGGAACGUGAAGACCAGAAUAAAGAGGAAGAUACAACUACAAUACAUUCAGUGCACGAAAGAAUCAAGCUCAAAAAUUUACUUUUAUAUUCAAGGUAACAUGUAAUGGCACUUAAAUUUACCCUUCUUCAUUUUGAGAAUAAAUGAUACCUUCUAUCAUUCAAACACUCUAAAAUGAUGUAAACCUAUUCCUGUAAUUAAUUAUUUAACAAAAACUUUGUCUAUUUUUCUUGAA